rnacentral:rRNA from 16 species
UGCAUGUGUAAGUAUAAAUAAUUUUACUUUGAAACUGCGAAUGGCUCAUUAUAUCAGUUAUAGUUUAUUAGAAAUAUUUUACUACUUGGAUAACCGUAGUAAUUCUAGGGCUAAUACAUGAGUAAAACCUCAACUUCGGAAGAGGUGUGUUUAUUAGUAUGAAAACCAUAUAUCUUCGGAUAUAAUAGUGAGUAAUAAUAACCUUUCAUAUCGUAUGUCGUAAGAUAACGAUAGUUCUUUCAAGUUUCUGCCCUAUCAGCUUUCGAUGGUAGUAUAUGGGACUACCAUGGCAGUAACGGGUAACGAAGAAUUUGGGUUCGAUUUCGGAGAGGGAGCCUGAGAGAUGGCUACCACAUCCAAGGAAGGCAGCAGGCGCGUAAAUUACCCAAUCCUGACAUAGGGAGGUAGUGACAAUAAAUCACAAUGCGGAACUUUUAGUUUUGCAAUUGGAUUGAGAACAAUGUACAAAUGUUAUCGAUAAACAAUUGGAGGGCAAGUCUGG